GUGGGGAAUUUUGGACAAUGGGGGAAACCCUGAUCCAGCAAUGCCGCGUGAGUGAAGAAGGCCUUAGGGUUGUAAAACUCUUUCAACUGUGAAGAUGAUGACGGUAGCAGUAGAAGAAGCUCCGGCUAACUCCGUGCCAGCAGCCGCGGUAAUACGGAGGGGGCUAGCGUUGCUCGGAAUUACUGGGCGUAAAGCGCGCGUAGGCGGUGCACCAAGUGAGGCGUGAAAGCCCUGGGCUUAACCCAGGAACUGCGUUUCAUACUGGUGCGCUAGAAUCCGAGAGAGGGUAGUGGAAUUUCCAGUGUAGAGGUGAAAUUCGUAGAUAUUGGAAAGAACACCAGUGGCGAAGGCGACUACCUGGUUCGGUAUUGACGCUGAGGUGCGAAAGCGUGGGGAGCAAACAGGAUUAGAUACCCCUGUAGUCC
rnacentral:rRNA from 1 species